UAUUGAAGAUGUGUAAGCUCUUAGGGAAAAUAGAGUAGUUAAAAUUAGUGAACAGAGUGAUAUUAACAGUCUCUAAAAGAGAGUCCAAAAAUGCCCAACCAAGAGCAUCAUCUGAAAAAUUAAAUCUUCAGCUUUAAAGCCAUGACCUUAAUCUUCCAGUUGCUCUCUGGAAACACUCUACAACUGCUGGAAGUUCUUUAUAGAGUUCACAGAGAGAGCCUGAUAAUUUGUCAUUCAGCUAUAUUUCUCUUGGCCUUUGGCAAGACUGGAUCUGGUGUGCCACAGCUCUCCGGCGAGGGUGCUGCACCUCUGAGCUCGGAAGAGGGGUCCUGCAGGGCUGGGAGCCAGACUUCUGAUGCCAGUCUAUGGUGCCGACAUCAGUGUGGCUGGCGCAGUGAGUGCUGGCGGAACCAAAAGUGGGGUUCACUUGCUGCUAUGGGAAGGAACUGCCUCUGCAGGGGGAGGAUGUGUUGCUGAGCUGAUGUUCCCAGGAUACUAAGGCAGGAAAGAAUCCCAGGGGAAGCAUACAGGGAACACACGGAAAGGAGAAUGUCUCCUUUUCUGUCUCCACUUCCCAGUCUUCCUCUGCCACCCUGUGGGGAGGGAUUGCCACUCCAGCGUGAAGCCUUGCUGACGCGAUGCCCACAGGAACCAUAGCAGUUGGAAGCCCAACAGCAACCAGCAGAGAACAGGAAAGAGCAAGCCUCUUCCUCCUCCUCCAACUUAGCAGGCUCCUCUGGCUCCCCUCGUUGUCAAAGCUUGACGGGCAACCGUUUGUAUACAACAAAAGUGGUUUGCAGAGCCCUAUUGCAAAGAGGAGGAGAAAGUAGGUUUGGAGCUGAGAGACAGUAACUUAACAAAUAGUGUAAUUAUUUUCCCCACAAGGCUCUGUUCUGCUUUCCCUGACUGUAUUGAAAUGAUGAUGGGUAUUGAGAAGUGCACAGGCUUUCUCAACUGUGCUUGGACCAUUAGACUAUCCAGGAAUGAAGAAGAGAAAGGGAAAGGAAAAGAAAGGUUUUGAGGACAGCGCUGUAGAUAAUGCGCUAGGCAUGACUUCACUUUCAACUUGAGACACUGUCAUUGGUUGGUAAACAUGUUCUCAGUAUGUGGGAAUGGGAGACAAUGAAAAAAAAGUGAGUAGAAAAAGGGGCAAUCAUUUCACAGUGAGGCUGUCCCCACCUCCCACACAUCAUACAGUUGCUCUAUACUGUUUAUCCUGUUCCUCACAUCCUCUGUAGUGCCCUGAGUAGAGCAUGAUAUAUAAAAUGUGUAGAAUAAACUGGGCACUUUCAAAUAAAAGCAACGGCGAGCCUAUGCUUACAAUUCUCCAUGCAUGGAAGCCUCAGUGUGGUUUCUGUUUGCUUUACUGGCUGCAUGCUAGGCAGUUGGCUGGCAUCUGGCACGUCCGUUGGUGAAGCACACAAGCGGCUCUACUUCCUUAUUUCCCACAGGCAGUAUUUAUAAUGGCAAGACUGUGUGUCCAGAAUUCAAGCUAAGAAAAUAGGGGGUAAAAAUCAUGAGCUGAGUGCUUCAGCCUUAGACUUUAUUGAGAACCGAAGGUACGACGCACAGACCUUAGGAUGCCUCUAUCAGCCCAGCCAUGUUGAGCAACGUCACAUGGCAAGGACUGCCGGUAACUUUCAGAAGUUGAGGGUUAGCAUCUGACCGAGCGUCAGCAAACACCGACGCUCUUAGUUCAACCAUAAGGAACGGAAGGCCGCCCCUUCCAUAGUCUCCACGUGGGAACACAGCCCUGGCUGAUACUUGGCAGUCAUAGAAACCGUAAGGCAGGGAAGCCACGUUCAAUCCACAGAAACAGAUUUAUCUCUUUUGUUAUAAGGAUGGCUCCAACCACAACUGAAAGAUGGCUAUCAGCAAAAAAAGGGGACUUUUCUUCAUACUCACUUAAGUGGAGGACAAAGAAUGGUAUCCUAUCUCUCUUAUUUAAGGAAAAAAAUAGAAUUUUCUCAGAAAAGUUUGGCAUUCCAGCCCUGCAGAAGCCCAUUCCAGGAGAAUCACUGAUAGGAGGGAUGGUGUUUUCUUUAAACAAUCCAAUUCUGCCCUUGAUUUGAAGUCAAUUAUAAAAACUAAUUAGGGGAGAGGUAAGUCAACUACAGUGUUCACUACACUUCAUUUUUCAAUUUUAAAUGAAGAAGAUGGAUUAAAUGAUUGGUAAAAUCCUAUCUAUGUCCACUAUUCUAUCAGAUCAGACAUUCUUAACCAUUUACGACACCUCAGAAUAAUUAAGAAAAAGGCUACAUGUAAUUAGUAAGACACCAAAGAGUUGUGUAUAGUUGUACAUGUGUAACAUAUAUUUGUGCUUUUGGUAGCACAUUAUGUAACAGUAACUACUGAAAACUUUGAAGUAGUGGUAAGAGUAAACAAUAGUUUAAGAUCUCUAUUGUGAUCUCAGACAUUGCUAAUUUUUGCCUACAUUAAUAAUUGCAGAAAAUUACAAAUUUCAGUUAGCAUUUAGUGGAAAUAAAGACUAACAACCUCCUACUAUCCAUGGACCUCUUGGUACUUCAUGGACCCCAAAGUGAGAACCCCUGUCAUAGAGCAUUCUUUUAGGCUAUCAAGAAAAAGUCCUAUCAUGGAGGGUCAGUUGUAAAUCUCUUAACAGCAUUUACCACAAUUUUCCCAUGAUGUAAUGAUAGCAGUAUGUGGUACAGUUUCAUAACUAGAGUGUGAGCCCCUUAAAAGAGAGAGCCAUAUCAUCUACAUUUUUUACUUAUUUACAGCAUUAUUCUUAAAACUGCUUCUGUAGUAAAAUCACUUCGGGAGAUUUAAAAAAUUCAGAUGUUCCUCACCUACCUCUGAAUCAGAAUAUCUGCAAAGGGACCUAGGAAUCUGUGUUUAUGAAAGCUUCCAGGAUUAUUCUGAUGCACUUAGCUUUCACCAAGUUAAUGAUUCACAUUAGGGAAGCAGCAUCAUUUAACACCUGGCAUAAUGCUUUGCACAAAUUACAUCUUCAGUAAAUGGGUUAGGGAUUUGAAUGAGGGAAACUAGGCCAUAUAAAAGGAAUUCACAUUUAGAAACACUACUAAAAAACCCUCUCAUUCAAAUGUGAUAUCCACAUAUAAAUCAAGUAUAAAAAUCAAAUGAGUAUUCAUAUUUGAACUGACUGUUUAUAGUUCAUAAUGCAUGAGCAAAACCAAAGGUUUCUGUGAUGGCUGCCCUUGUACUGUUCACCAUGUAAGAACUUAUUCACUAUGUAAGAAUUUGUUCUCCAUGUAAGAACUUGUUUGUUAUGCCUCAGAAGAUUGGAGACUGACGAAAAUUAGACGGGGCA